GGCUGUUGGCUCCCGCCCCUCCAUCCUCCUCAGUUGCAGGAAUUGGGGAAGACUCCUCCCCUCCUAUCUGUAAGCCAACCUCCACCCAGGAAACCAGGCGAUCAGAGCACCUGAUCACCCCUCUUGGACUGCCUGGAGUUGGGUGUCUGGGAACAUGGGCUUGGUACCUGGUGGGUACCAUUAGCCAAUGGGCUACCUAAAGAGAAGCAGCAUCCUGGGGAAACAAAAAAGCAAGCUGGGUGGCUGGCCAAAGAGGCAAGACAGAGACAAAGGAUCUGAGGAUCCCAGGGGAGGGAAGUUUCAAAGAAGAAUGGGGGGAGGCUGAGGGACUGCCCGUGGCGAUGAGAUAGUGGCUGCCACCAUUUUAGAGGAGAUUACAGCCUCGGGCAUAGGUAUCGAAGAUGUGAACCCAGUUUGACAAACAAGCUCAGGUGCACCAGCCAUGGUUCCUAGAAGUCACCUUGCUGCUGUGGAAUUCUUUGUAGAGGUCUUAGGAUAAGCUCAGAGGAUCCACCUGCAUACCCAGCGGGCCACAGCCUCCCCAGUCUUUAGCAACAACAGCGAACAGGUUUUGAGCCCUUUCUAGGUGCCAGGAACUGUGAUAAGAGCUUACCAGGCAUCACCUCCAUUAAUUCUUGCAGUAACCCUAUGAGGUAUGAAUUCCAUUUCUGUCUCCAUAUUACAGAUGAGGAGACUAAGGUUCAGAGAAAGCACGUCACUUCACCAAGUCAGCGGCACAGCCAGGAUUCCAGAUGAGUUCCUUCUGACUCCAAAGCCAGGUGCACCUCCGCCCAGACCCUCCCAGCUCCCCGCAAGAGACUGGACCCCAUCACCCACACCAUCAGGCACUGGGUAGCACCUAUUUCCCAAUCCUCAGGUCACCAAAAUUGGAUCGAGGAUCAGCACUGGUUCAAAAUUGCGGCUGCUGGCCCCACCGCCAUGGCUGGACCCCCUCGAGCCAGCAGUUCCGAGGAUAUUUCAAACAGUGGGCAUUGGUGCAAUUCUAUAAAAAGGAGCCAGAAACCAUUUAGAUGCUUGCCAGGAAGAAGCGCUUACAGAUGUCAAAGAAAGGGUCACUCCAGCUACUCCGUGGAGAACAAGGGCAGAAGCAGGGAGACCAGCAAGGAGAUACUGCAGCAGUCCAGGUGGGUGCCGACGGUGGUCCAGUCCAGUCCGGUGCUGAAGAGGGGCUGCAUUCUGGAUGCAUUUCAGAUGGAGCAACUCAUUGACUCUUUAAGAGUGGGCGCCAGGAGUCCACGUUUGUAACAAGCUUCCCCGGUGGGUCUAAUUCACCCUGAAGUGGAAGAACUUCAGGUUUUAGCUAACCUGUUUCAUAUUCUGCGAAGAACCGACUGGAUUUUCUUCAAUCCAACUCAGAAGAGCUACUGGACAUUCUCCGGUGUCUGAACGUGUGUGCACAGCCCAAGCAUGGACCUCAAGGCACGUGGGAAGUAACAUAAAUUUUGUCACAUGUCAAGUGCUGGAAACACAGCAGCGCACAACCACGGGUCCUUUCCCCAAUGAGCCUUGCAAUGCAUGAGGAAAAU
rnacentral:lncRNA from 1 species